rnacentral:rRNA from 1 species
GAUGAACGCUAGCGGCAGGCUUAACACAUGCAAGUCGAGGGGUAGUAUAGCAAUAUAUGAGACCGGCGCACGGGUGCGUAACGCGUAUGCAAUCUACCUUUUACAGCGGGAUAGCCCAGAGAAAUUUGGAUUAAUACCACAUAGUAUUAUUGAAUGGCAUCAUUUAAUAGUUAAAGUUACAACGGUAAAAGAUGAGCAUGCGUCCCAUUAGCUAGUUGGUAAGGUAACGGCUUACCAAGGCGACGAUGGGUAGGGGUCCUGAGAGGGAGAUCCCCCACACUGGUACUGAGACACGGACCAGACUCCUACGGGAGGCAGCAGUGAGGAAUAUUGGACAAUGGGCGCAAGCCUGAUCCAGCCAUGCCGCGUGCAGGAAGACGGUCCUAUGGAUUGUAAACUGCUUUUAUACAGGAAGAAACACCUCUACGUGUAGAGACUUGACGGUACUGUAAGAAUAAGGAUCGGCUAACUCCGUGCCAGCAGCCGCGGUAAUACGGAGGAUCCAAGCGUUAUCCGGAAUCAUUGGGUUUAAAGGGUCCGUAGGCGGAUUUGUAAGUCAGUGGUGAAAUCUCCCCGCUCAACGGGGAAACGGCCAUUGAUACUGCAAGUCUUGAAUUAUUAGGAAGUAACUAGAAUAUGUAGUGUAGCGGUGAAAUGCUUAGAGAUUACAUGGAAUACCAAUUGCGAAGGCAGGUUACUACUAAUGGAUUGACGCUGAUGGACGAAAGCGUGGGUAGCGAACAGGAUUAGAUACCCUGGUAGUCCACGCCGUAAACGAUGGAUACUAGCUGUUGGGAGCAAUCUCAGUGGCUAAGCGAAAGUGAUAAGUAUCCCACCUGGGGAGUACGUUCGCAAGAAUG